rnacentral:rRNA from 1 species
AUCUUCCGCAAUGGACGCAAGUCUGACGGAGCAACGCCGCGUGAGCGAAGAAGGUUUUCGGAUCGUAAAGCUCUGUUGUGAGGGAAGAACAAAUAAGGGAGUAACUGUCCUUAACGUGACGGUACCUCACCAGAAAGCACCGGCUAUCUGCCUGCCAGCAGCCGCGGGAAUACGUAGGUGGCAAGCGUUGUCCGGAACUAUUGGGCGUAAAGGGCACGCAGGCGGUCUUAUAAGGCUGAUGUGAAAUCUCGCGGCUUAACCGCGGGCGGUCAUUGGAAACUGUAGAGCUUGAGUACAGAAGAGGAGAGUGGAAUUCCACGUGUAGCGGUGAAAUGCGUAGAUAUGUGGAGGAAUACCAGUGGCGAAGGCGGCUCUCUGGUCUGUGACUGACGCUGAGGUGCGAAAGCGUGGGUAGCAAACA